UACGUAGGGUGCGAGCGUUUAAUCGGAAUUACUGGGCGUAAAGGGUGCGCAGGCGGUUUUGUAAGCCAGAUGUGAAAUCCCCGGGCUCAACCUGGGAAUGGCAUUUGGGACUGCAAGGCUAGAGUGUGGCAGAGGAGACUGGAAUUCCCGGUGUAGCAGUGAAAUGCGUAGAUAUCAGGAGGAACACCGGUGGCGAAGGCGGGUCUCUGGGCCGAUACUGACGCUGAGGAGCGAAAGCGUGGGGGAGCGAACAGG
rnacentral:rRNA from 1 species